UACGAGGGGGGCGAGCGUUGUUCGGAAUUAUUGGGCGUAAAGGGUGCGUAGGCGGUUUGGUAAGUCUUGUGUGAAAUCUCCAGGCUCAACUUGGAGUCUGCACGAGAAACUGCCGGGCUUGAGUGUGGGAGAGGUGAGUGGAAUUCCUGGUGUAGCGGUGAAAUGCGUAGAUAUCAGGAGGAACACCUGUGGCGAAGGCGGCUUACUGGUCCGGUACUGACGCUGAGGUGCGAAAGCGUGGGGAGCAAACAGG
rnacentral:rRNA from 1 species